CCCCGGCGCCCCCUCCCCCACCUUUCCCAUUAACCUCUUCAUCUUUCCUUUUCUCCCAGUCGUCUUCGGUCUUCUCCCAGACAGAACUCCACGGGUCAUCGGUUGAAGGCUCUUGGGUCUUCUGACAUCGCCACCAUCAGUCAUGUGCGGAGGGGCCAUUCUCUGGAGCAGGACCCGCCCUCCAGUGACCAUACAAGGUAAUGGAGGAAUGCGCGCCUUGGAAGUCCAUCUGCUUCAUAAAGACAACACGCAGAGGCCAGAGGGGUCCCACACUGAUGCUGAUCACUUUUUUUGGAGAAGCGUUCAGGGAAGCAGACGGCAAGAUCUGUGACCAAGACCUUCGCUCGGAGAUCGUGACGUGACCUCUCCCAACAAGAAAAUUGCCCGUGCUCAUUCACUCACAGCUGGAUGAUGGGAGGAGAAGAUUUCCCGGGAGGGGUUGCCGUGGGGAUGAGCUGACACCGCUCGCUGAUGGACACGCCACCCUGAGUUGGGCGAGAUAUGCAUGUAAGCAGAUA